rnacentral:lncRNA from 1 species
GACCCUUCUGCUACAGGAGCCCACCAGAGCUGAAGUGCUUAGUGGCUCUUUUUAGGUUUUUUUUUUAAAACGUGUUCUCAGUAUGAUCUUCAGGCUGACCUCUAACUCACCAUUCUCCUGACACAUCCUUCCAAGGCCUGGGAUUACAGAGUCAGCCUCCGAAGCUCCUCCUGUAGAACCCACUCUUAAGGAGCACAUACGGAGACAAUGUGAGCUGGAGCAUUCAAGAGGACUGAGACAUAGAGACAAGGUGCUGGACAGGCAAGAGGAGCCUUCCAGGAAGAGUCCUGGCCUGAGCAGAAUGGAAGAGAAUUCGUGUACAGUGGAACAGAUGUAUGGCCGUGCACGCCUGGAUAUGCUGAGAGCCAUGGAAACUGUUUUGCAAGCUGCCACAUUAGGCAAGUAAUAAUAAAAGCCAGUGUCAGUGCAUAACCAGGACAGGUUUCAACUCAUCAACCACCACACCCACUGUCUGCAAACAUCACAAGGAGGGUAAACAUACACGUGAUAGAAGAACUGGGGCAGAGUUAAUAGCUUCUAGGUAAGUCAUAUUACCGGAAACUGGGUCUUCUGCUGCGUGCAAGUGCAGCCUACAUGCUGGGAAAUCCAAAACUUCCCUUUCCCCCCAAAUUUUUGUCAGAUGGGGCUGUGGAUUCCUAUGAGACAGCUUCAUGAAGUCCUAAGGAGAAGGAGGCUGAAGCCUAUGGCCAAAUGACUGGCAGAAGCUGCUGAAGAACUGGUCCAUCACAUGGACAUUUCAUGGUUCUCUUAGAACAAGCAUCUGGGACUUCCUCUCGAUUCAGGUGUGUAGUAUCCUGAUAGUGUGUGCUGAUGGGACUUUUAUAAGCAGUCCUUAUUAAUCACAGCUAGCAGAGAGUAAUUUGAACACAGAACAAAAAAUAUCUGAAUAAAUGUUCAUUGUUGGA